rnacentral:ncRNA from 1 species
UGUCUCCUCCACCUCCAACCGGUGGAUUCGGCCCGGGGCCCCAAGCCCCGGGCCUUUUUUC